rnacentral:rRNA from 1 species
UUAAUUGAAGAGUUUGAUCAUGGCUCAGAUUGAACGCUGGCGGCAGGCCUAACACAUGCAAGUCGAGCGGUAACAGAAAUUAGCUUGCUAAUUUGCUGACGAGCGGCGGACGGGUGAGUAAUGCCUGGG